rnacentral:rRNA from 1 species
UACGUAGGGUGCGAGCGUUGUCCGGAAUUUAAUUGGGCGUAAAGAGUCUUGUAGGCGGUUUGUCGCUGUCUCUGUGAAAAUCCGGGGCUCAACCCCGGACUUGCAGUGGGUACGGGGCAGACUAGAGUGUGGUAGGGGGAGACGUGGAAUUCCUGGUGUAGCCGGUGGAAAUGCGCAGAUAUCAGGAGGAACACCGAUGGCGAAGGCAGGUCUCUGGGCCGAUAACUGACGCUGAGGAGCGAAAGCGUGGGGUAGCGAACAGG